rnacentral:rRNA from 1 species
AGCAGCCGCGGUAAUUCCAGCUCCAAUAGCGUAUAUUAAAGUUGUUGCAGUUAAAAAGCUCGUAGUUGAAUUUCGGGAUCAAUUAAUUGGUCGUGCCUCUGGUACGUACUGAUUUUAUUGGUUUCUCCCUUCUGACGAACCAUGAUGUCAUUAAUUUGGUGUCGUGGAGAAUCAGGACUGUUACUUUGAAAAAUUAGAGUGUUUAAAGCAAGCUAACGCUUGAAUACAUUAGCAUGGAAUAAUGAAAUAGGACGUUUGAUCCUAUUUUGUUGGUUUCUAGGAUCGACGUAAUGAUUAAUAGGGAUAGUUGGGGGCAUUAGUAUUCAAUUGUCAGAGGUGAAAUUCUUGGAUUUAUUGAAGACUAAUUACUGCGAAAGCAUUUGCCAAGGAUGUUUUCAUUAAUCAAGAACGAAAGUUAGGGGAUCGAAGACGAUCAGAUACCGUCGUAGUCUUAACCAUAAACUAUGCCGACUA